GUUACCAUCUUACUAAAUAUUGUAAGAUGCUAAAUCUUACAAUAUUUAGUAAGAUGGUAAC
rfam:Papilio machaon contig68688, whole genome shotgun sequence.